AAAGGUUAUUAUAAUCACAGAAGAGCAGUUUAGAUUUCCCCAGACCUACAAUCAUGAAAUACUUAUAAAAUUUUAAAAGCCAACAUCCUACUCCAGACUAUAAGCCUCUCUCUCCCCCAAAUUCUCAGCCCUUUCCAGAUUCAUCCUCUAGGAAACAUCCCACUGUCUCACUAGCAGCUUCAACAUGUACCACGCACCCCGUCCACUGCCAGUCACACCUCCAUUCCCACACUUCUUUACCACCUUUCCUCCAGUUUCCAAGAAUGUGUUUGUUCCUUCCUUCCCAACACCAACUCAUUCACUGACAAAACACCACUCCAUCAACUAUCAAUCUCCACUUCCCUCUUUCAGCAAAAUUGCUCACGGUUGAGAACCACUGACCUAUAUCUUCCCUGCAGAUUAAUAAUAAUUUUUAUGUCUAAGACAAAAAUAACUUUAAUUCAAACUUAUCAAACAAGCAAAGUAAAUGAAAGAUAGGAAAAUUCUUACCCAUUCCCGAAUAUUUUCAAUGAAAGCUGCCUUCAAUUUAGUCUUUACAAAAAACUGUACCUACUAAUUACUCUGUCUACAGGUUACUCUUUUAUAAUGGGCUCCCCACUCUACCAAAACAGGCUCCCCUAUUUGCAUUUCUUAAAAAAUUUAAUUCCUUAUUUUAAAACGUCAACUAUAUUACCUAUAAUUACACUAAAUUUGGCUAAAUAUGGCCACGUAAGUGAUGAAAAUUGCUCCAGCUCCUCAGCAAACUACCAUUAUAGUCGCAAAGAGAAGAACGCCAUGAAGAGAAAUGAACUAAUCCAGCAUCUUUAAGGAGAUCCAAGAAAGCAUGGAACUUCUGAAAAGAAUUCUCAAUGCUGCCUAAAACACCAUCAUCCAGGAUCAUGCUUGUCAAUGAGUGGACAUGAAGGGCUUCAGACAAAGAGAAAUUUACAUUUCUUAACUGGGCAUUUUCAUGUUCCAGCUAUAAAAGAAGACGGAAAAUGUCUGCAUGAUUUUUUCUCAUUGUCAUCAAAAGUAGUCUUGUCUAGUUUCAAGUAACAAAACUAAAACACUCAAAAUGUAAUUAAUCUGUAAUUAACCUAACUCUCGACCAGUAAAGACAGAGACCAUAUCACAUAAUAACAAAAACCCCAGGCACCCAACAAAGUUUCCUAUAUAACGCUUAGGUGGUAUAUAAAUAAACCAAAGUUAUCAUUUUAUUAAUGAUCUUUCACAAAAGAUCACAUUUCUAACUGGUUAAAUUCAUAAUGGAGCCUCAUUCCACAUUAGAAAAUUGCCUGCUUUAAGUUUCCCUUAAAUUAGAAAGUGAAUUAUAGAAUCUGAUCUGAACAAAACAUAUUACAACUCUGCUGAAUGUUAAGAAUUAACUUUAGUGAGCAAAAUAUCUAAUGCUUACGUUUAAAAGUCCUAAAUUAUACCCAACCCAAUUUAUUAAAUGUACGAUCACCAAUGUUUUCUUUGGCUCCUUCAAAAUAUUCACUCCCGUGCACUCUUCCCCUUCUGCUCAUCACCUAUGCACUUAAAACCCCCUAUAAGCUCAACUCCAGUAUUUCUCAGAAAGGCUGUUACGUUCAUGAUGCCCCUUUUGCCUUAUAUAAGCAGGUGCUCACCAUUUAUUGAAUGAGUGUCUGCCAAUCCAGUGGAUGCACUUUGAAAAAUUCCUGCCUACACUCAACCUCUGAUAAAGUAUAUUUAGAUACAACUUUUUAGAUUAUGCCCUGCUUUCAUGCACAUUACCUAAUGUAAUUCUUAUAGUAUAUAUUUUUAUCUUUCAUUGCAUUCUUAGAAGUUUUCCAAUAUCUUAAAUUUAUUUAAAUGAUUCACUUUCCUAAUUCAUUGCCAGGAGAGUCUCAUCAUGUCUUUUAUGCUACUGUAUAUAUAGUAUAUGCACAAAAAGUGCUUUCUUGAAUCAAAGAAUCAUGAACAGAACAUAAGCUAAUGUCAUAAAGCACGCACGCGCGCACACACACACACACACACACACACAACGAGAUUUUCACAUUUUUAAAAACAUGCUUUCUGGAAUAUAGAUCAUAUGAUCACUAAAUACCAGUAAAUGCAAAAGUCCAUAUGAUACAACCAAUUUGCAACAUAUUACAGUUUUAAAGUUUACAAGCUAUGUGUAUAUGGAUUAAAAUCAAAUCGAAAUAAAACCAAAACACUCCCAAAAGUAUAAGAAAUUGUUUACUUCAUUGACUCAUUUAUCAGCCUUCAGUCUUAUUACUCUUUCCUCCUUUAACUGCUUUAGGCACUCCUCCAGUGAUAACUUUGUACCUGCAAUGCUUCUUGUUUCAAACUGAUUUUCUCUGGCUCUUCCUGAACACUUUCUGAGGAAUCAUCAACCUCUUCGAUUUCUGAGGAGGAAGGACUCUCUACUGUCACAGUCACAGGAAAUUCUGAUGGACCUGAGUGUCACAAGAAGAAGAUAGGAAACCACAGAGUUGUUAAACUAAAGUGCAAAGAAAGAAGACAAGAUUGUAUAAAAGACAACACAAGCCAGAUACCAAAUAUCCAAAUAUUAGAGGACAUUUAACAAAAGUGA